CAAGAACCAGAUCCCGCCGGUGGUGGGGCUAUGCGUGUCAUUAGUUUUACCAGAUCCCUUCCGUCCCCCACCCGCACUACCGCGCCCAAGAGGAUUCAAAAGGGAGCGGCGGCGGCGAGAGGCCCGGCGCCGACCGCAACCCUAGCCCGAAUCAGCACCCGCCGGCCGACGCUUCCGGAGGGAGCCGCUGCGGCGGCCGAGGCCGACGACGAGGCGCGGCGCCCGUUCACGGCCCUUAGCCAGGUCUACGCCGACCUCGUCCUGGCGUGCGUCCCCCCCGGCGGGUCCCCGGCAAGCUGGCUAGAUCUUGCGUCCCCGGCGGGUCCCGUUUCCGUCCCUAGGGUUCCGAGGAGAGGGCGGAUGAACGGAGGCGGCGAGGCCAGCGAUUAUGGGAGCUCGGAGGGCGCGCCUCGUCGUCGGCCUCAGCCAGGUCCACGCCGACCUAGCCCUGGCGAGCGUCCCCCAGGAGCAAGCAAGUUAGUUGGCUAGAUCUCGCGGCCCGGCCGUCCCGUCCCCGAAGCUCCUGCUGGGCCUGGUUGGCUGUUUGCUGAUUGGCCUGGUUACUAAUGUGCGUAGGCCACAACUCCAGGAUGCUAAAAUUGAGUGCGGUCACCACGCAUACAACCAAACGUAGUUACUGCAUGAAAUCACGAUCGUGCGUGGUGGAGGCGGCAGCGGCAGCGAAUAGGUCAUUAGGGCACGGCAGGGCGGUAGCAGCCGGCGGCGCGCGGCUCCCAUGGGCCGGCGAGGUGGUGAACAGCGACUCAGCGAGGCCGUGAGGAUAUGGAUAUUUAAAGGAAUUGAUCUUGCUGAAAUUAAGAAAGAAUUUCAAAAUAUACCAAGAAGAAUGCCUUUGCCACAGUCAAUAAAGCUUUAUUAUAGACAUCUUUAUGCGUGUCUUAGUUAAUAAAGAUGAUAAAUUGGUGAUCUGUAAUCCAUAUAAUCUUCAUUUAGUGAGGACUGUAUGUUGUUGGUUGGUCUGUGCUGUUCUUCUUUUAUCGUCUAUAGGUGGGACAUGCUCUUUACCCUGCAUUUUUGUAUCCUUUUUAGGCUGUCGGUUUUCCAUUCCGGGUAUAUAAAUUCCUUCUAUUGGAUGCUUUGGUGGACACAAAAGCUUAACACAUGUUACAUCGUGCUAUUUGCUGAGGUGGAUGUUUGACUCCUUUCAUGUGUCAUAUAGAACAUCCAUAUGAGAUAAAGCAAAAAGGCAGAGACCAAAUAUAAGAACUGAGGGAUAUGUGGAAGAGGGACGGGAUGAGCUUGAGGCUUACAAGCCAUUCAAAUAAUCAGACGUGCAUGGUUUCUUGAAUUUUCAAUUGUUGAAUCUGUUAACCUGAAGAUUUUUCGUCUUCUUUGCGGCAAACUCCAGGUUAAAAUAUAAAACAGAAUCUGUCACCUGAAGGCAUUCUGUCGAGGCCUUGCUCAGAGAUUGGGAGUUUAGCUGAUAUGUAUUGUAUGCGGAUGAUUACGAGCAAGAUGCAAGGACACAAAAAGCUUGGGAUGCAGAAAGGUUAGAGGCGAGCUGCCGCUAGCGCACGGUGGCGUCCUGCAUCUCCCAUCCUUUUCAUCCCUCAGCUGCUGCCUCUGCAAGUAAUGCCAAACCUAUAGGCUAUAACAGGUUCAGGAGGUGUUUAUCCAAUGAUUCAGUAACUUAACAUUCUAAUUUACUUGCCUUCUGCUCAUGGGGCAUGGUGUCUUUAGGUUAUUGAAGGAAAUUGUGUAUGGAUGCCGACAUUCAGACUGGUCAGCUAAGAGACCAGGACAGGGAAUCUGGAGAGGUCCUUGGUCAUCAGCUGGUCCAUCAUGAGAUGUUGAUGUCCCAAGCUGAAUUUCAAGAUACUCGUGGCAGCAAUUUCCCACAAAAGUGUUGUGGUUUAAUUCGCUAUACUGUUAGAAUUACGCGAGGUAUGCGUAUAUCAUCGGGGUGGUGCUGAGUCAACUAAAAGUCAGAGGCGCUAAUAUGUGUGCAUUACCUACUUUUGUAUAUUUUGCAAUCAUGCACUUUGUUCUCUUAAUGAUUAACUGCGAACGAAAUGGAUGAGGGCAAUAAUGUUCAUGUGCUAGAACAGAACUCUGGAAACUUGAAUGGAAAGAACCUUUAAAGCAGGGGAUUACUGAUAAA